UACGGCUAUAUCACGUUGAAACUCCGGGUUCUGUAUGAUCACCGUAGUUAAACAACGUCGAACCUGGCCAUUACCGAGAUGGGUGACCGCUUGUGAAUGCCAUGUGCUAUA